rnacentral:rRNA from 1 species
GUAACCGGGAGAAAUCCCGCCUAAUACAACAUAAUGCCGGGAGGGGACAUCCCCUGCCGGCCAAAGGGGGCGACCCCGGUCACGGAUGGGCAUGCGGCGCAUUAGGUAGUUGGUGGGGCAACGGCCCACCAAGCCGACGAUGCGUAGGGGUUCUGAGAGGAAGGUCCCCCACAUUGGAACUGAGCACGGUCCAAACUCCUACGGGAGGCAGCAG